rnacentral:rRNA from 1 species
GACGAACGCUGGCGGCGUGCUUAACACAUGCAAGUCGAACGGAAAGGCCCUGCUUUUGUGGGGUGCUCGAGUGGCGAACGGGUGAGUAACACGUGAGUAACCUGCCCUUGACUUUGGGAUAUCUUCAGGAAACUGGGGCUAAUACCGGAUAGGAGCUCCUGCUGCAUGGUGGGGGUUGGAAAGUUUCGGCGGUUGGGGAUGGACUCGCGGCUUAUCAGCUUGUUGGUGGGGUAGUGGCUUACCAAGGCUUUGACGGGUAGCCGGCCUGAGAGGGUGACCGGCCACAUUGGGACUGAGAUACGGCCCAGACUCCUACGGGAGGCAGCAGUGGGGAAUAUUGCACAAUGGGCGGAAGCCUGAUGCGGCAGCGCCGCGUGCGGGAUGACGGCCUUCGGGUUGUGAACCGCUUUCGCCUGUGACGAAGCGUGAGUGACGGUAAUGGGUAAAGAAGCACCGGCUAACUACGUG